rnacentral:lncRNA from 1 species
CAUGACGCACAAAAUAUAUACAAAUCACGGAAGUAAAAUGUUCACCAACCAUAAUUCCAAUUUCCAAAUAUCCACCAAUAAAAGCAAAAUGCAAAAUAGUGUCUAGCAACUAGAGAGCAUAUAUGUUCACAUGGUAAUAAGAAAAAUUCUAAACUAAGAGUUCAUAAAAUAUUUGAACACACUAAUGAUUUGUGCAACAAUCUCAUGAUUCUAAAUAGCGUCUUCAUUCAUUUCAUCAACCCUUUGCUCAUUUGAUUCGCCUACAAGAUAAUAAAUCAAUAUUAGCAAAUGUUUGGAAGGAAAUACAUUCUCGACAUAUAUAUAUAUACUGAUUUCACAACUAAAGCUGGACAACGACUGGUGUAGGAAUGUACAGCAAUCCCAGCAAACUUAACUAAUCAAUAAAAUUUUCAGUAAAAUUUCCCCUAUACUUGGGCAAAACUCUAUACCAUAGAACCUUUUAUCAUACAUAUUCAUAUCCAAGAACCAACUUCACAUACAACCAUCACCUGCUCAGUACAUCAUAGCUUGAAGUAUUUGUGAGCGUUACUGUGUUAAAACAAAAAAUCAGAAAACUAUUAGAAAAAUAAAGAAAUGUAUAAAAUAGUAAAGAAUCAGAAAUAUUCCGAGUCCACAAUUUUCUUGUGCGUCUUUAAGGAAUUUUAACCCCCUCACACGUUGCCAAGGUAAUGGAUUAAAUCCUCCCAGGAUAAAACGGAAUAAACCUUCCUGCAACAGUGGCAAUACAAACUGCAGGAUACCCUCAAAGAACGNNNNNNNNNNNNNNNNNNNNNNNNNNNNNNNNNNNNNNNNNNNNNNNNNNNNNNNNNNNNNNNNNNNNGAAGAUGCAGCCUUGCCUCAGAAUUUAUAGACAAAUAUCAGAAGAGGUGUCUGGAAAGGUGCCUUUUCAGAAAAUACACAGCCUGCCGCGGUCUACCGCGAUCGCGGCAGAACCGCGGCCAGAGAGGCCCUCUGAACCUGACUGCCGCGAUUCUACCGCGGUCGCGGCAGAACCGCGGCCAGCUAGGUCCUCUGAACUUUCAGCAGGGUUCUGGCGUAGUUUCAGCAGUGAUUUGACAUUUAAUUAAUUAUUAAAUAAUUAAAUAAAUUUUGUCCAAAAAAUAAUCUUAUCGAUCAUUUGACAAAUCCGAAGCCGAGCGAGCGACGACGACGGCGCGAGGGUUCAUUCUCUUCAACUCCUUUUAAGAGCUUUAAGAAGUGAAUCUAUAUAUAAGCACACAAAUGUGAUUGUCCCUCACCAAUGAGGGACAAAGUGCAAGACAAAAGUUCACUUCUUCAAAUUUUCAUUUUCCCUCCAUUUCCAAUUCACACUUCUUCUACUUUAAAGCCCAAUGGCUUAAAGUCCAACAGUAUUGAGCAAAUUUACUUAGUAGAAAAUUACUUUAACCAGUAAUUAACAGUAAAGAAAACCAUAAAUAAGACACAAAUAUAUAAUCUCAUUUCAAGAAUUGCAUGAAUUUGCAUGCAUUCUUUUGUUUAUUAACAUGUGUGUAAAUUUUAAACUUGGGACAGAACAUAAAGGGGUAGGUUCAUCUCAAUCAAGUGUAGAUGUCCAUUUUCAUAUUGAAGUGCUGAAGUGUGAAAACUCCAAAAGCAAUUACUGCAUCAACAACUUUAAAAUCUUAGUACAGCUCUUUUCGACUUAAUAAUGUCAAGCUCAAGUGAGUUUAACAUCUUUAUCAAAAUUUCAUAGUUUACUUAAGGAGACCUCUAAAGACAGUUAUUCUAUCUAUAAUGUAUAUAACCUAAGUUGCUAAGACACGGAUGUGGGUGUCCGACACGGGUGGUGAUUUAGAGGUCGGAUUCUUCGAAAUGUAAAUUCUAAGAUUCGGGGAUACGAAUUCUAGUGCGGAUACGGGUGCGGGGAUCCGGCUAAAAAUAAUUCAAAUAAAAAAUAUAAAUAUAAAACUAUCUUUAAAUUGUGAGAAAUUUUGUGGAAUCAUUAUGUAUAGCUUGUAAAGUGUGGAUCUUUUUAUUAUUCUCAAGUUGUAGAUAAGUAAAGGAUUGAUUUCCUAGAUAAGGUAUGUUAUUUUCUUCAAAUUUACCCUAGUUUUGGUUCUGAUUUCAGGAAUCAAAUUUUAUUUCGUCUCGAAUUUUUCCUUCCAUCGUGGUCAAAGUACCCAAAAUUAUUUGACCAGCUGUGUACGGUUCUCAUACCAACACCCAUACUAGUGUCGUGUCGACCCGGGUGCGACACAUAAACUGCCGUGUCGAAACAACUUAGUAUAGAACCCAAGUAGUAAACUCUGUUUUACUACUGAUUUUCGACAUCAAGUAAAAACAUAAAGCACAGCAAAACACAGCAGAAAAUAUGCCCAGCCUCUCUGAAUUCCAAGAGAUUGAGAAGAAAAAAAGAGAACAAAUUUUCAGCAGCUUCAACUUAUUUUUUCAAAACUUACUUAGCUUUGUUAUGAAGUAGGCCAUCAUUAUCGUCAUGCACGCUGGAACUUUCAUCAUCAUUAUUGGGACGUGCACGUUUUCUCCAUAAAUAUCCUUCCCCGUGAAAAAUCCAUUUGUUGUAUCCUUUAACAAACCCGCAAACAACCAAAUGAUUCUAUAAUACCAAUAACAAUUCAUGCACUUUUUACAAGGGCACAUUAUUUCUUUUCCUUGAGCAACUCGUUCAAAUGCAAAAUCAAGGAAAUCAUUCACUCCACGGAUAUACUCAUCGGUGUCUCUUCGAAGAUUCAUCCAACUUUUAUCUAUGUUCUCCAUUGAAUUUCCUAUGUGACACAAGAAAAUCACAUAAAGGAAGAAAACCAACAUAAAAAUAUAAUCUGAAAAUAUAACCAUGAGUUAUGCAUGUGAAUGAGAAAUUUCAAAUGUACGAAUGUUAUCUUCUCGAAAUUUAGAAUUAUUGAUGUCUUCUAUAACAAUGUCAUCCUAUUAUUCACUUCUGAUCAGACCACUGGUUCCCUUAUCCCGCCCAUCCCACACCACCACCCUCAUAAAGUUCUUAUAUAUGAGACAGUUCACACAAGUAAACAUAAUAUCAAAGCUGGCAAAAGUAUUGAGUACAAAAUUGGUAUCCAUUAAAAAGAAAUUUCCAAGCAUUAAGCUCAAGAGAAAUUGUGAAUCCAAGUAAACAAAUAUAAAGUACUCCUUUCUAACAGUUUAAGCUUUUAAAUGCGAUGAUUCUCAACAUUGGUGCAGUGCCAAAAGAGAAAGUAUACUGCAUGAAUUCGCCUGGGGCACCCGCAUGGUAAGUGAUUUCCAAUAUUAACUUCACAGCAGUCAGUACUCGAGUAAAACUCGUCUUUUUUUGAGUAAUUUCUUGAUUUGAUUGGAAGUACUAAUUUGUAUCAUUCAACUCGUCUACUUUCUUAAUUAUUUGGAAACACUGUGACCAUAUCAAUUGCUGGAACAAAUGGUUUCUACUGCUUUUAGAGCAGCAGCUGACACACUAAAUAGAAUAUCAUUUGGAGGUGUAAAGCAGCUGACCUGCAGAAUUGGACAACUUUACCUCAAUAUUGCAGCUGCUCUCAGAUGAUUGCAAAGUACAUUCUAGCACUUAAUUUACAUUGAAGAACGGGUAAAUCCUUUACUAGUUUUUUAAGAUCCUGGAGAAGCAAGCACAAAAUACAACUAAAGGAGAAAGAAGGAGAAAAAAAAAACAGCAGCCAACAAUUGUGUUACUACCUAAACUGCAGCUAAAAUUAGCAGGUGCAAUAGCACAACCACUGCGCUAUCUAGAACAAUAAAUCUUCAUUACACCUUAAUGACAAACAAAAAAAUAAAAAACAAUCGGCUCAUUAGUAUUUUUAAUUUAUAUCUUGGACAUAGCUAAAAUUAAAUGAUAGGAUUCUUUUGUAUGUCAAUCAACCAGGACAACGAAGUUAAUGUAUAGCUCGCUUCCAGAUAAGCUAACUGGUAAUUUUGCUUCCCUAAAAAAGAAACUUUGCCACCAAAUUUAGCCAAAUGGCAAUCAAACAUAAAAUGAAUUCUAAGAAGAAGGUAAUAGCGGCUCCAAGACAACAACAGAAGCUUCUUCCCCCUCGCCCACAGCUUCAUUCCAGAAAAUGUAUAAGAGAAUCGUGCAAUUUAGAACUUUAAUCCUUAAAUAAGGGUUAUGCUCUGCUUGGGUAGUUGGGCAUAAUGGGCAAGCAAAUAGAAAAUAAUAGCUAUAGGAUCAAAGGAAACCAUGACUAGACAGUAGUUUUAACAAUAAGAACAUCCUCUAAAACCAAAUAAACGUAAACCCACAAGGAUUUAAGGCAUAACAUAUUUACGAAAAUCAGAAAAGAAAAUUGAAGUGUUACCUUUGGUAGUACAGCAGAAUCAAAAAUAUAUUGUGAAUGCCAAGACCGGUUCAAUAACUCUAGAGACUGUUAACAGCUUCGUCCGAGCAUUGGUCUCAACAAGAAUUACCACAAAAUGAAGGAGACAAGAGAAUAACCCUGAACCCUAGGUUUAAAUUUGUCUUCAAUAUUCGGUGUUUUAAAAU